CUACUUCUAUUUACCCCUUUGUGGCUUUUUUCGUGCUUUCACUAUCCUUAUCUGCCAAUAAUUUGGAGAGUUCACUUCUUUUUUUUUCCGCGCGCUUAUAGGUUCAAGCUUUUGGCCGCGCAAGGGUUUGGGCACGAGAGAGUCCAAUAAUUGUUUUUUUGGAUGCAAGUUCGAUCCAAAAAAACAAUUAUUGGACGCUGAUGACGUCAUCGGCGGAAAAUAUGUAAUAAAUGCCGAAUACUGAAAAUUAGCCGGUGCUUUCUGACCAAUUAGAAACGAGAAUACA